GAUCCCAUUGAAAUUCCACAAUUCUGCUGUCUGAUAUUGUGUUUGUUAAAACAUGGUUCAAUGUGGAGGUUCCCAAGUUCUAUGCCGCGGUAACAAAUCUUCUUCUGCCAAUGGAGAAGCGCUCCACUUGGAAGGGAAUGCGUACAGUGGGUGAGAUAAAACGAGAUUAAAUAUUAAGGCUGAAGUGAAUCCUGAUCAUCUUUAUACAACUAUUCAGAGGGAAGAGAAGGUAGACAUUUUUAUAUUCAUUCUUAGUUC